rnacentral:lncRNA from 1 species
AUUUAGGGUUUGUCGACACCGAGGCAUCCUAAAAGCUAAGCUUUUAUCAUUUAGGGUUUGUCGAUGCCGAGGCACCCUAAAAGCCUAAGCUUUCAUCAUUUAGGUUUUUAUCGACACCGAGGCACCCUAAAAGCCAAGGUUUUAUAAUUUAGGGUUUGUCGACGCUAAGGCACCCUAAAUGCUAAGUUAAGUUUUCAUCAUUUAGGGUUUAUCGAUGCCGAGGCACCCUAGGUUGACUGAUAUAUAUGGGUAUCUUCUAAUAAUAUACCCUAUCAAGAAAAGGGAAGGAGAAUUCUAAGUUGGGCCUAAUCACUUAGCUCUAUUGCCACCUAUGGUUUAAUGCACCAAGAAUAAAGGGGCAGUUGAUCCUACUUAAUUAAGUACUAAGAUACCCCGGCCCAUGCAUUAGUCGCAAGUACCCCAUAUGUCCUAUUUUUAGCAAAGUAAUGCUAAAAUUCACGGAAAAUUUCAGCUUGACCUUUGCUGAAAAUAGGACAUAUGGAGUACCCAAAUUUGCCGGAACAGAAGUUAAUCGACAUUCCGGCAAACUCAAGGGUCUCUCGGGGUACGUGCAAAAUCAUCACGACACGAUGGUCGGAGACAAAACCCAGCAAACUAGCACCACAAUGUGCCUCUACUUUCAUAUGGAUGAAAAGGCCACAGACCAUAUGGUCCUCUGCUUUCAUAUGGACAAAAAUCAGCUCAACUUAUGUGAGCUUCCAUUCCAGAUCUAAUAGGUCACCCAACAAAAAAUCAUCAAUAGUUUAGCAAGUCUGUACCCUCAAGAAUGAACAUAUAGCAAUAUCUAUUGUCCCCCCAUAACAUACGAAAAUCAAAAUCAGCUCAACUUAGAUGACAAUGUAUAUACUUUAUCACAUUAUAUAGAUGGUGCAACAACGUAUAUACUUUAUCACAUUAUAAGUCCUCACACCAUUAACUAUGACAAAAUCUGAAAGUAUAAGUCUGGUUACAUUCACCCAAGUCCAAACAUAAAAUUCUGUCCAACAUAGUACAACCCACUUUGAUAAUUUCAUAGGAUUUAAUAUACCGAACGAAACCUGACAAGUGAUAUGUGUUUCAAGUAUCAACAGAACAGCCUCUAAAAUUUUCAUGUUGUAACUUUAUUUUAAUACCACCUCUAACAGGGCCUUAUCUCCCAUAUCGAAAUACGGUACCCAGGAACAUAUAUUUCGGCACAGCAAACUAAACUGAUAGCUGCUCUCAAACCGUACAUCCAAACGACACAAAUAAAUACUCUAAAGAAACCUUGAAACUUUAUCUAAAACUUAUGUAAAGGGGCCAACUCAAAAUUCUGAGCCUAGCUAACUCAUUUUUCAGAUAUAAGCUUGCUUAUUUUCCAUUGCACCUGAAGAACUAGCUGUUGUUGCUCGUGUGCCCGUGCUGCUGAUGCUCCUCUUGUGCUGAUCCAAGUGGCUGUGUUGUGCUGCUGCUGAUUAGAACAAUUUUGCUCCUCUGCACUCUGAAGAAGGUACUCUGUCAGAGUAUUGUACCUGAAAAUUAAUGAAGUUUAUUCAGUGUUAACUGAAUCAUGACAAUGCCAAUAAAGGAGUCAAUUCAGUUGUUAACUUAAAAUUCAUGAAGUACAUUCAUUUUAAUACAAAAACUGUUGCUGAUCGUUGUGAACAAAAAUCAUGGAUUGAUGUUAACUCAAAAGUAGUGAAAGAAAUUGUUGCUGAUCAUGGAUUACUGUUAAGUAAAAUAGAGCAUCUCGCUUGUCUUAUCAUGUUGAGUAAAAUGAAUGACACUGUGUUGCGCUGCUGCUUGACUUAUCAAUUAGUGUGAACUCUGAAAUAGCAUGAAUAUUUGAAACGACAUGCCUCUAAAUGACACUUGAGUAAAAUGAAUACUUGCAGGUUCAUCCAACGUAUUGCUACACUAAUAGUAAAACGAAUACCUGCAGGUUAGUGUUAGUACUCCAAAACUUGAGUCUCAUGAAUGAUGAGUCUCAUUUACUGAAUUUACUCCAACACUAAGUCCACAAAAAUGAAUCGGUUCAGUAAACUUGAAGUACUCAACACUGAACAUGGUUCAGAGCUCACUACACUACACUACAUCGCGCAAUGGUUCAGACCUCACUAAACUAGAACAAGCUCACUACACUACACUACACUACACUACACAUGCUUAAACUCUGAACAUAAACAAACACCAGUAAUGCCAGACCAAGACUUUGCUCGAAAAUUCUAAGAAGUAUUUAUGAGUUUUAGCUGACCUGAGGAACUCUGCAAGAAUGGUUAGGUACCCCUGAUAAAUGCAGUAAAAAAGAAGGCAAUGCAAUUAGACAUGUCUUGAUGAAGCCAUUUACAGCAGCGUUCAACUGAACAUACAACUGAACAUAAAUGCAGUAAAACAGAAGGCAAUGUAGUUACUUCCUAUUACUUCCUACUAGUUCGAAUUCGUGGCACUCACCCUUCUAGACAAUAUAUAAACUACCUCUGUUUCUAGGCAACAAGAGUUAUCAUCAGUUUAGUUUUUGGUCGUGGUAACAAAGAAAACAGAGCUUGAGUGCUUGACAACACAAUAACAAAAGUUAUCAUCUGUUCAGUUUAGUUUUCUUCAUUCGCUUGUGUGUGUGUGUGUGCACCCAUUGUUGGUUCGUUCAUGCUCUGAAACUGAAAACUAAAUCUGGUAGUUUGAAAACUGAAAACAGAGCUAUGCUGAUGAACAUGAACCAACUCCAAAAUUAAGCUAGUUUGGAGCACCAGACACCAGGGGAGCAAGCUCAGUCGAGAGGGAUGGGCCAUGGAGUUGAUCAGGUGGGAUAAAGUUCCAUCACAUAGUAACAAGCUCAGGAGAGCGUAAGCAAGUCAUUUUUUUUAACUGAAACCAAGUGUCUUAGUACAAACUACUGAUCAACAGCACAAACCUAAGAAUCUAACAGGAGGAGAUCGAAGCAGUGAGGGAGCGAGGGGACGGUGCCGUACCUCGCGGGAUGGAUUCGGUCGCGGCUUGAACUCGGUUGUGGAUCCAGGCGAGGAGAAGGGAGGUGGGAGCUCUGGCGCCGGUGCCGCGAGACGGUCGGCAUGCAGUGGAUUAUUUUUUCCCUCGGCGUCGUCGAUCUGGACCUGGAAGAGGAUGGAUUAACCAAGGUAAGCGCAAAAAUCUCUGCAUAGGGCAAGGGGCGAAGGCGCCGGCGGCUUCAUACAAGGAGAUCGAAGGCGAAGCACGUAGGGCAAGGGGUGGUCGUAGUCGUACAUGUACCUGGCUAGCACAUAAUGGAUCUGUCGCGGAGGAACCCAGCACCUGGCCCGGUGAGGAGAAGCUCAGGCGUCGGCGACGCGUGCACCGCGAGACAAGGGCAGCAGUGGAGUGAGAACUGAGAAGCAAGAUGGGAGGCGCGGGGGCGCAGCGGCGGUCAGUGGGCGGGUGAGAGAUGGAUUGGGGAAGAUAGAAAGGGGACUGGGGAUUUUAGUUGGGG